rnacentral:rRNA from 2 species
GCAUAUCAAUAAGCGGAGGAAAAAGAAACCAACAGGGGAUUGCCCCAGUAACGGCGAAGUGAAGCGGCAACAGCUCAAAUUUGAAAUCUGGCCCCCAGGGCCCGAGUUGUAAUUUGUAGAGGAUGCUUUUGGCGCGGUGCCUUCCGAGUUCCCUGGAACGGGACGCCAUAGAGGGUGAGAGCCCCGUCUGGUUGGACACCUAGCCUCUGUAAAGCUCCUUCGACGAGUCGAGUAGUUUGGGAAUGCUGCUCUAAAUGGGAGGUAUAUGUCUUCUAAAGCUAAAUACCGGCCAGAGACCGAUAGCGCACAAGUAGAGUGAUCGAAAGAUGAAAAGCACUUUGAAAAGAGGGUUAAAUAGUACGUGAAAUUGUUGAAAGGGAAGCGUUUGUGACCAGACUUGGGCCCGGUUGAUCAUCCACCGUUCUCGGUGGUGCACUCUGCCGGCCCAGGCCAGCAUCAGUUCGCGCCGGGGGAUAAAGGCUUCGGGAAUGUGGCUCCUCCGGGAGUGUUAUAGCCCGUUGUGUAAUACCCUGGUGCGGACUGAGGUUCGCGCUCCGCAAGGAUGCUGGCGUAAUGGUCAUCAGCGACCCGUCUUGAAACACGGACCAAGGAGUCGUCUUCGUAUGCGAGUGUUCGGGUGUCAAACCCCUACGCGUAAUGAAAGUGAACGCAGGUGAGAGCUUCGGCGCAUCAUCGACCGAUCCUGAUGUUCUCGGAUGGAUUUGAGUAAGAGCAUACGGGGCCGGACCCGAAAGAAGGUGAACUAUGCCUGUAUAGGGUGAAGCCAGAGGAAACUCUGGUGGAGGCUCGCAGCGGUUCUGACGUGCAAAUCGAUCGUCAAAUAAUGGGCAUGGGGGGCGAAAGACUAAUCGAACCUUCUAGUAGCUGGUUUCCGCGA